rnacentral:rRNA from 1 species
UCCUACGGGAGGCAGCAGUAGGGAAUAUUGGGCAAUGGGCGAAAGCCUGACCCAGCAACGCCGCGUGUGCGAUGAAGGCCUUCGGGUCGUAAAGCACUUUUCUGAGGAAUGAGAAAGGACAGUACCUCAGGAAUAAGUCUCGGCUAACUACGUGCCAGCAGCCGCGGUAAAACGUAGGAGACGAGCGUUAUCCGGAUUUACUGGGCGUAAAGCGCGUGCAGGCGGUUCGGCAAGUUGGAUGUGAAAUCUCCCGGCUCAACUGGGAGGGGUCGUUCAAUACUACCGAACUUGAGGGCAUCAGAGGAAGGUGGAAUUCCGGGUGUAGUGGUGAAAUGCGUAGAUAUCCGGAGGAACACCAGUGGCGAAGGCGGCCUUCUGGGAUGCUCCUGACGCUCAGACACGAAAGCUAGGGGAGCGAACGGGAUUAGAGACCCCGGUAGUCCUAGCUGUAAACGAUGUAGACUUGGCGUCGGAGGGUUCAAAACCUUCGGUGUCGUAGCUAACGCGAUAAGUCUACCGCCUGGGGACUACGGCCGCAAGGUUAAAACUCAAAGGAAUUGACGGGGGCCCGCACAAGCAGCGGAGCGUGUGGUUUAAUUCGGUGUUACACGAAGAACCUUACCCGGGUUUGACAUGUGAGUGGUAGGGAUCCGAAAGGUGACCGACCCGCAAGGGAGCUUUCACAGGUGCUGCAUGGCUGUCGUCAGCUCGUGUCGUGAGAUGUUCGGUUAAGUCCGCUAACGAGCGCAACCCUCGCUACGUGUUACAAGUGUCACGUGGGACCGCCGGUAUCAAGCCGGAGGAAGGUGGGGAUGACGUCAAGUCAGCAUGGCCUUUAUAUCCGGGGCUACACACGCGCUACAAUGGUCGGUACAAUGGGUCGCUAAGCCGCGAGGUGGAGCCAAUCCCCAAAGCCGGCCUCAGUUCAGAUCGCAGGCUGCAACUCGCCUGCGUGAAGUCGGAGUUGCUAGUAAAUGCGCGUCAGCUAUAGUGCAUUGAAUACAUUCUCGGGCCUUGUACACACCGCCAUCGGAUCCCC